AUGAAGCUGUUUCAGUGGGUUGAGGCAAGGCAGGCCUGGGAUGGGCCUAAUACAUUGUCUAAUACCGAUCUAUCACCAGCAUGUAGGUGUUUGAGUGGGUUCAAACCACGAGUUGAGGUAGACUGGGAUUCGUCCGUUUUUUCUAGUGGAUGUGUUAGAAGAAAACAAUGGCAUUGCACUGACAGAGUAGGAUAUAUCAAGGUAAUCACCAGUAGAUUACCUGAAAGCCCGGAAUCUGUGGAGUUACCAGAUAAUGUAUGCGAGUUUCAAUGCUCAAAAAAUUGCCCAUGCAUACGGAAGUGUAGGUAGAUGUAUAUUACUAAAUGGAGACAUUCUGGAUUUGGAGAGCACAACAAACAAUUCUGCAGGGGUGGAUCUUUAUGUCGAAGUGAAAUCAAAAGGUGAGCUAGUAUUUGCUCUGUAUUGCAUUAAAGUAAUCACCUUCUUUAAUUGUUUCAGGGAAGAGAAAAGUUCUUGUUUUGGAGUUAGUGUUGCCCAUUACUGCUGCACUCUUAUCUUGUUUUGGUCUCUGUUAUGCACGAUCAAAGCUAACAAACCGGAGAUCCAAGGACACACAUCAAAAUCUACUACUCCUUGAUUUGGAUUCAAAUGGAGCAGAAUAUAAGAACGUCGCCCAAGUUGGUAAUACUCAUGGAGAAGAUAAAAAUGACAGAUAUGAGUUGCCAAUUUUCAGUUUUUCUAGCAUAGCUGCGUCGACUAAUAACUUUUCCGUGGAAAACAAGGUUGGAGAGGGUGGUUUUGGACCUGUUUACAAGGGAGAACUAAUGAAUGGACUGUUUGUCGCUGUGAAACGGCUCUCCAAAAGGUCUGGACAGGGACUAGAGGAGUUCAGAAAUGAGACAGAAGUGAUUGCCAAACUAUAGCACAGAAACCUUGUUAGGAUCUUAGGAUGCUGUGUUGAGAACGAUGAGAUGAUUUUAGUCUAGGAUGCUGUGUUGCCAAACUAUAGCACAGAAACCUCGACUUCUUUAUCUUUGAGCCUACAAGUGGAGUGGUGUUAGAGUGGGCCAAACGCGUUGAAAUUAUAGAGGGUAUCGCUCAAGGGCUUCUGUAUCUCCACCAUUACUCCCGGCUGAGAAUAGUUCAUAGGGAUCUGAAAGCUAGUAAUAUUCUACUAGAUGAACCCCAAAAUCUCUGAUUUUGGCAUGGCAAGAAUCUUUGGAGGAAACAGCAUGCAAGCAAAUACUGAAAGGAUUGUCGGAACAUAAGUUUAUAUGUAACCGGAAUAUGCAAUGGAAGGGCUUUUCUCAGUAAAGUCUGAUGUGUUUGCAUUCGGAGUACUGAUGCUGGAGAUUAUCAGCGGGAAGAAGAACACUGGUUUUUAUGGUUCUGAGUAUCUUAGUCUUCUUGGCUUUACGUGGAAUGCAUGGAUACAUGGACGAGCAGUGGAGGUGGUUGAUCCAUCGUUGGAAAGGCCUGCUUCAUCUUCAGCUGUAUUAAGAUACAUAAAGAUCGGUCUACUUUGCGUUCAAGAAAAUCCAGCUGAUCGACCUUUAAUGUCCGAUGUGGUUGGCAUGCUAAAUAAUGAAAACGUGGAAGUGCCAUCACCCCUGAAUCCUGCAUUCACUGCUACGAGAAGUUCAAAUAAAGUCCAAAUUUGCUCUGUGAAUGGUUUGACACUCUCUCAUGUUGAAGCACGUUGAAGUUUUCUUUCGUUGCAUUUGCAUACGAUGAUUAAUUGUAAACCACAAACUGAUAAGAGUUGAAAUUUCGUUGCAUAAUGUGGUUAAUUGUAAACCACAAACUGCUCUCAUGGUUAUGAUAAGAGUUGAAAUAUUCAACAAGGCAUGGUUAUAAUCUCUGAUACGUUUGGGAGGCACAUUUAAUUUUCGACACUAUCGAACAUUAUUGUAUUGAUUGAUCUAUGUAUGGUUAUAAUCUCUGAUACAGUUGGGAGGCCCAUCAUCGGACAUUAUUGUAUUGAUUGAUCUAUGUACUAUAUUUGAUUUUUUAAAGGAGACUAUUGUAAUAA